rnacentral:rRNA from 1 species
AUUGAACGCUGGCGGCAGGCCUAACACAUGCAAGUCGAGCGGUAGCACAGAGGAGCUUGCUCCUUGGGUGACGAGCGGCGGACGGGUGAGUAAUGUCUGGGAAACUGCCUGAUGGAGGGGGAUAACUACUGGAAACGGUAGCUAAUACCGCAUAACCUCGCAAGAGCAAAGAGGGGGACCUUMGGGCCUCUCGCCAUCAGAUGUGCCCAGAUGGGAUUAGCUAGUAGGUGAGGUAAUGGCUCACCUAGGCGACGAUCCCUAGCUGGUCUGAGAGAUGACCAGCCACACUGGAACUGAGACACGGUCCAGACUCCUACGGGAGGCAGCAGUGGGGAAUAUUGCACAAUGGUGGUAGUCCACGCUGUAAACGAUGUCGAUUUGGAGGUUGUGCCCUUGAGGCGUGGCUUCCGGAGCUAACGCGUUAAAUCGACCGCCUGGGGAGUACGGCCGCAAGGUUAAAACUCAAAUGAAUUGACGGGGGCCCGCACAAGCGGUGGAGCAUGUGGUUUAAUUCGAUGCAACGCGAAGAACCUUACCUACUCUUGACAUCCACAGAAUUUGGUAGAGAUACCUUAGUGCCUUCGGGAACUGUGAGACAGGUGCUGCAUGGCUGUCGUCAGCUCGUGUUGUGAAAUGUUGGGUUAAGUCCCGCAACGAGCGCAACCCUUAUCCUUUGUUGCCAGCGAUUCGGUCGGGAACUCAAAGGAGACUGCCGGUGAUAAACCGGAGGAAGGUGGGGAUGACGUCAGUCAUCAUGGCCCUUACGAGUAGGGCUACACACGUGCUACAAUGGCGUAUACAAAGAGAAGCGACCUCGCGAGAGCAAGCGGACCUCAUAAAGUACGUCGUAGUCCGGAUUGGAGUCUGCAACUCGACUCCAUGAAGUCGGAAUCGCUAGUAAUCGUAGAUCARAAUGCUACGGUGAAUACGUUCCCGGGCCUUGUACACACCGCCCGUCACACCAUGGGAGUGGGUUGCAAAAGAAGUAGGUAGCUUAACCUUCGGGAGGGCGCUUACCACUUUGUGAUUCAUGACUGGGGUGAAGUCGUAACAAGGUAACCGUAGGGGAACCUGC